rnacentral:rRNA from 1 species
CCUACGGGAGGCAGCAGUGGGGAAUAUUGCACAAUGGGCGGAACCCUGAUGCAGCAACGCCGCGUGAAGGAAGACGGCUUUCGGAUUGUAAACUUCUAUCAAUAGGGUAGUAAGAAAUGACGGUACUUAAAUAAUAAGCCCCGGCUAUCUACGUGCCAGCAGCCGCGGUAAUCCGUAGGGGGCAAGCGUUAUCCGGAUUUACUGGGGGUAAAGGGAGAGUAGGCGGCAAGGUAAGCGAUAUGUGAAAGCCUUUGGCUUAACCUGUGGAGUGCAUAACGAACUAUCUAGCUAGAGUACAGGAAGGGAAGACGGAAUUCGUAGUGUAGCGGUGAAAUGCGUAGAUAUUAGGAAGAACACCAGUGGCGAAGGCGGCUUUCUGGAGUGAAACUGACGCUGAGGCUCGAAAGCGUGGGGAGCAAACAGGAUUAGAUACCCGGGUAGUC